GCAGGCUGCAACUCGCCUGCACGAAGUUGGAAUUGCUAGUAAUCGUGGAUCAGCAUGCCACGGUGAAUACGUUCCCGGGUCUUGUACACACCGCCCGUCACACCAUGGGAGCCGGUAAUACCCGAAGUCAGUAGUCUAACCGCAAGGAGGACGCUGCCGAAGGUAGGAUUGGCGACUGGGGUGAAGUCGUAACAAGGUACC
rnacentral:rRNA from 1 species